rnacentral:rRNA from 1 species
CCCAGACUCCUACGGGAGGCAGCAGUGGGGAAUAUUGCACAAUGGGGGGAACCCUGAUGCAGCGACGCCGCGUGGGUGAAGGAGUACUUCGGUACGUAAAGCCCUAUCAGCAGGAAAGAAAAUGACGGUACCUGACUAAGAAGCCCCGGCUAACUACGUGCCAGCAGCCGCGGUAAUACGUAGGGGGCAAGCGUUAUCCGGAUUUACUGGGUGUAAAGGGAGCGUAGACGGCAGUGCAAGUCCGGAGUGAAAGCCCGGGGCUCAACCCUGGGACUGCUCUGGAAACUGUAAAGCUGGAGUGCGGGAGGGGCAGGCGGAAUUCCUGGUGUAGCGGUGAAAUGCGUAGAUAUCAGGAGGAACACCGGCGGCGAAGGCGGCCUGCUGGACCGUAACUGACGUUGAGGCUCGAAAGUGUGGGUAGCAAACAGGAUUAGAUACCCUAGUAAA